rnacentral:tRNA from 1 species
UCCCAUGUAGCUCAGUUGGUAGAGCAUGGUGUUUGCAACACCAGGGUUGUGGGUUUGAUUCCCACGGGGGAC